UACGUAGGGUGCAAGCGUUGUCCGGAAUUAUUGGGCGUAAAGAGCUCGUAGGCGGUUUGUCGCGUCUGCUGUGAAAACUGGAGGCUCAACCUCCAGCCUGCAGUGGGUACGGGCAAACUAGAGUGCGGUAGGGGAGAUUGGAAUUCCUGGUGUAGAGGUGAAAUGCGCAGAUAUCAGGAGGAACACCGAUGGCGAAGGCAGCUCGCUGGGACGUGAUGACUCGUGAGACGCGAAAGCGUGGGGAGCAAACAGG
rnacentral:rRNA from 1 species